rnacentral:rRNA from 1 species
AUACGGAGGAUGCGAGCGUUAUCCGGAUUUAUUGGGUUUAAAGGGUGCGCAGGCGGGCUGUUAAGUCAGCGGUGAAAGGCUCGGGCUCAACCGGAGCAGUGCCGUUGAUACUGGCAGUCUUGAAUGCGGUCAAGGCCGGCGGAAUGUGGCGUGUAGCGGUGAAAUGCAUAGAUAUGCCACAGAACACCGAUUGCGAAGGCAUCUCACAAAUCCGUGAUUGACGCUGAGGCACGAAAGCGUGGGGAUCAAACAGGAUUAGAUACCCUGGUAGUCCACACUGUAAACGAUGAUGACUCGCUGUCGGCGAUAUACAGUCGGUGGCCAAGCGAAAGCGAUAAGUCAUCCACCUGGGGAGUACGACCGCAAGGUUGAAACUCAAAGGAAUUGACGGGG